rnacentral:rRNA from 1 species
GAUGAACGCUAGCGGCAGGCUUAAUACAUGCAAGUCGAGGGGCAGCAGCUUUAUAGCAAUAUAGAGGCUGGCGACCGGCAAACGGGUGCGGAACACGUACACAACCUUCCUUUAAGAGGGGGAUAGCCCAUAGAAAUGUGGAUUAAUACCCCGUAACAUAUCGGUGUGGCAUCACACUGUUAUUAUAGUCUCGACGCUUGAAGAUGGGUGUGCGGCUGAUUAGGUAGUUGGCGGGGUAAAGGCCCACCAAGCCUUCGAUCAGUAGCGGAUGUGAGAGCAUGAUCAGCCACACGGGCACUGAGACACGGGCCCGACUCCUACGGGAGGCAGCAGUAAGGAAUAUUGGUCAAUGGACGCAAGUCUGAACCAGCCAUGCCGCGUGAAGGAUGAAGGUCCUCUGGAUUGUAAACUUCUUUUAUAGGGGGCGAAAAAAGGGAAUUCUUUCUCACUUGACAGUACCCUAUGAAUAAGCACCGGCUAACUCUGUGCCAGCAGCCGCCGUAA